UACAGAGGGUGCGAGCGUUAAUCGGAAUUACUGGGCGUAAAGCGCACGUAGGCGGAUUUGUAAGUCAGGGGUGAAAUCCCGGGGCUCAACCUCGGAACUGCCUUUGAUACUGCAAAUCUCGAGUCCGGAAGAGGUGAGUGGAAUUCCUAGUGUAGAGGUGAAAUUCGUAGAUAUUAGGAAGAACACCAGUGGCGAAGGCGGCUCACUGGGACGUUACUGACGCUGAGACGCGAAAGCGUGGGGAGCAAACAGG
rnacentral:rRNA from 1 species